GUCUUUUUGAUAAUAAUUUAAAGUCUGACCUGCCCUAUGAUUUAUUAUUAAAUGGCCGCGAUACUUUGAUCGUGCAAAGGUAGCAUAAUAAUUAGUUUUUUAAUUGAGAACUGGUAUGAACGGUUGGACGAGGGAAAGGCUGUCUCAGUUUAAUUUAAAUUAGAAUUUUAUAUUUAAGUAAAAAAGCUUAAAUGUAUUUAAAAGACGAGAAGACCCUAUAGAGUUUUAUAUAAGAUUAUAUUUUUAUUAGUUGAAGUAUUAAUAAUUUUAUAAAUUAAUUUUGUAUUUAGUUGGGGUGACUAAAAAAUUAAAAUAACUUUUUUUAUUAAUUUUACAUUGAUUUAUGAAUGAGUGAUCCAUAUUUUAUGAUUAAAAGAUUAAAUUACCUUAGGGAUAACAGCGUUAUUUUUCUUGAGAGUUCUUAUCGAAAGAAAAGUUUGCGA
rnacentral:rRNA from 1 species